rnacentral:rRNA from 1 species
GAUGAACGCUGGCGGCGUGCCUAAUACAUGCAAGUCGAGCGAACAGACGAGGAGCUUGCUCCUCUGACGUUAGCGGCGGACGGGUGAGUAACACGUGGAUAACCUACCUAUAAGACUGGGAUAACUUCGGGAAACCGGAGCUAAUACCGGAUAAUAUAUUGAACCGCAUGGUUCAAUAGUGAAAGACGGUUUUGCUGUCACUUAUAGAUGGAUCCGCGCCGCAUUAGCUAGUUGGUAAGGUAACGGCUUACCAAGGCAACGAUGCGUAGCCGACCUGAGAGGGUGAUCGGCCACACGGGAACUUGGACACGGUCCAGACGCCUACGGGAGGCAGCAGUAGGGAAUCUUCCGCAAUGGGCGAAAGCUUGACGGAGCAACGCCGCGUGAGUGAUGAAGGUCUUCGGAUCGUAAAACUCUGUUAUUAGGGAAGAACAAAUGUGUAAGUAACUAUGCACGUCUUGACGGUACCUAAUCAGAAAGCCACGGCUAACUACGUG